AGAUGACAGUUACCUAUCAUGGAUCUUCAAAGGGACCCAAAAUUGAUGGUAUUGGCCAACAUAUGUAGCUCAUCACUGCGAACAAGUGCUCAGCCUACGUUUGGGGUGGUGUACUGUCAUUGUGACCCAUAACUGUUGGAAGAGUUCCAGAAAUAACACAAGGGAUUAUGCAUUAAUAUAGAGCAGGUGGCAUAGAUUUCACAGGCUCAAGCAAAUGUGAAAUAUUUGACAUUUUCACCUUAGCAUUUUCACACAUAGAAAAGACACCUUCCAA
rnacentral:lncRNA from 10 species